CCGCUAAUGGUGUAGUGGUAACAUGUGGGCUUCCCAAGCUCACGCCUCGGGUUCGAUUCCCGGUUAGCGCA